GGGCGUUUAGCUCAGCUGGUUUAGAGCAUCUGCCUUACAAGCAGAGGGUCGGCGGUUCGAAUCCGUCAGCGCCCA
rnacentral:tRNA from 3 species